rnacentral:tRNA from 1 species
GGGUCCAUAGCUCAGUGGUAGAGCAAUUGACUGCAGAUCAACAGGUCACUGGUUCGAACCCGGUUGGGCCCU